CCCAGCGAUGAAUCGCUGGGCUAUUUUCGGCUGUCCCUUCGGGACA
rnacentral:sRNA from 1 species